GAGACCCCUGCCUCUAGUUGCUACCAUUAUUCUCAGGAGUAGUGGAGCUAAUUAGAGGGACUGCCGUCGCUGAGACGGAGGAAGGAGGGGGCUACGGCAGGUCAGUAUGCCCCGAAACCCUCGGGCCACACGCGGGCUGCAAUGGUAAGGACAAUGAGUUUCGAUUCCGAAAGGAGGAGGCAAUCUCUAAACCUUACCACAGUUAUGAUUGAGGGCUGAAACUCGCCCUCAUGAAUAUGGAAUCCCUAGUAACCGCGUGUCACUAUCGCGCGGUGAAUAC
rnacentral:rRNA from 1 species